rnacentral:rRNA from 1 species
CUUAGUGGCGAACGGGUGAGUAACGCGUGAGUAACCUGCCCUAGAGUGGGGGACAACAGUUGGAAACGACUGCUAAUACCGCAUAAGCCCACGGUACCGCAUGGUACUGAGGGAAAAGGAUUUAUUCGCUUUAGGAUGGACUCGCGUCCAAUUAGCUAGUUGGUGAGGUAACGGCCCACCAAGGCGACGAUUGGUAGCCGGGCUGAGAGGUUGAACGGCCACAUUGGGACUGAGACACGGCCCAG